AACCCUAAGCCUAAACAGCGCCGUUUUAGGGGGGUUAUUUAAACCCAAAAUUUUUACAAAAAUUCAUUUUUUCUAGUUAAAGUAAAAAAAAAACUCAAAAUCAUUCUCUUUUUUUCUCUGUUUCAAAAACGCUUCCCCUCCCCUUUUGAACCCGGCCACGGCGUCGGUGAGCUCGCACGAAGGCUUCGCCGUAGCCUCGUCGCGGCUUCGCCUUGCCGGAGAAUAAAAAGAAAAGAGGGGCUGCCCCCUUUUGCCCGUCUCUCCUCUGGCUUGGCCUAAACGAAACCCCGGAGGAUUUCUAUGGCUCCGUCGCAGAAGGGGUCAUCGACGGUGGCGCCGCAAGUGAAAGGUGGAGCAGGUGCAAGUGGGGGUGGCCGACGUGACGUUGGCGGUGGCGGCGUGACGUUGGCGGCAGUGGCAGGGCGCCAAAAGGUCAAUAGGUGCGGCGCCUAAGGUUUCAGUCUAGGCAGAUUUUGUUGUGAAAUUGGGCCUGGGCAUUGGGCCUCACCUUUGGGCUGCUGGGUUAAAUUUGUUGGGCUGUAUUUGGUUUAAUUGAGUUGGGUAGGUUUAGGUGGGGUUUUUGGGUUGUAUUGGGUAGAGGGUUUUGCUGGUAUGGGCCCGGGUCAACUUUUGGGUAGUGGGAUUGGGGCAAAAUUGGGCUGUACAAUGAUAAAAUUAAAAUUCGAUAUUGUUUUUUAAUUUCGAGUUUAAAUCUAAAUUAUAUAUAAUUUUUAAUCUAAA